AUGAGUUUCAAGUGAUUCCUUUCGACUAUGUUGAUGUGCGGGUUCAAUAAUGAGAGGGAAAACACGACCGUAAUUAAAAGAUGGCAACUAUCUUUUCCUCAUCCGUCACAUAAACGUCUCUGGUCGUGGGUGAUGGACCCGGCGCUCGGAGACGACGAGGCCCCCAAGGACCCUGGCGCGCGCCAGCAGACACACCAGAGCUACACCGAGAAGGACUUCGAAGGCCACCGGGCGCACACGGUGUUCGUGGGCGUGCACCUCCCGGGCCGCCGGCACUCGCACCACCGCCGCCAUUCGCACCACAGACACCACCGCUCCACCGACAAGGACUCCGGAGCUUCUGGGGACGAUGAGCGGCCCAUCACGCCUCCGGCGCAACGCGUCCAGUUCAUCCUGGGAGAAGAUGUGGACGACAACGCCCACGAGCCGCACCCGCUCUUCUCAGAGCUGGGGGAACUCGUCUACGAUGGCAACGAGAUGGAGUGGAAGGAGACCGCCAGAUGGAUAAAGUUUGAAGAAGAUGUAGAAGAAGGUGGAAAUCGAUGGUCUAAGCCACAUGUUGCUACUCUCUCUUUGCACUCACUCUUUGAACUCCGUUCUCUCUUACUCAAUGGCACUGUGAUGCUUGACAUGGAAGCAGCAUCUUUGGAACAGGUUGUUGAUCUUGUGCUAGACAAUAUGAUCAGUUCUGAUGCCUUACCAUUGGAAAGCAGAGACAAGGUGAGGGAAGUACUUCUCCGACGACAUAGGCAUCAGCACGAGCGUCGCAAGGAGAAUGCAACCAAUAUGUCACGCCUCCCAAUUAUUCGUUCUCUAGCAGAAAUUGGCAGAAAUCACUCCUCUUCCAAAAACUUCUCACAGGAGACACAGAAGGUACCUCAGCAGGUGAUCCGCAGUUCAAGCUGUCCUUCAUCACAGACAGCUCUGCUAGAUGUCCGGGAUAAUAAGGGGCCAUACCUUGCUGUUCCAGGGCCUGCAGGCAGCUCUCCACAGGGUGUAGCUCAGAGUCAAAGUUCGGUGUCUAUUAAAUCAAUGAAUCGAAACCAAAGUUCCUCUGCUCUUGGUGAAAUGAAUGGAGAUGGAGGGCAUCCAAAGGGUAAUGUGCAUUUCAUGAGGAAAAUUCCCCCUGGAGCUGAGGCAUCUAACAUACUUGUUGGAGAAAUGGACUUCUUGGACAAAACAAUAUCUGCAUUUAUACGGUUACGACAAGCUAAUUUCUUAGGUGACUUAACAGAGGUUCCAGUUCCUACGAGAUUUAUCUUUGUUUUACUUGGUCCAACUGGUGGAAUAGCUGGUUUUCAUGAAAUUGGGCGUGCGAUGGCGACUCUAAUGUCAGAUGAGGUGUUUCAUGAUGUAGCAUACAAAGCUAAGAAUAGAAAUCAUCUGCUUGCAGCAAUUGAUGAAUUUCUGGAUGCAGUGACAGUUCUUCCUCCUGGUGAGUGGGAUCCUUCCAUCAGGAUAGAGCCACCAGCAGCAAUACCAUCACAGGACCAGAGGAAGAGGCCUCCCGAAAAACAAAUAGAUGAAGAUGAUGAGGAGGAACAGGAACAGAAGUUAAGGGAAGAGUCUGGUCUGGCAAGGUCAGGCAGACUAUUUGGGGGCCUCAUUAAUGACAUCAAAAGGAAAGCACCAUGGUACUGGUCAGAUUUUAAAGAUGCUCUGGCCAUACAAUGUGUUGCAUCUUGGAUUUUCUUAUAUUUUGCUUGCCUGUCACCCAUUAUUACAUUUGGUGGUCUUUUGGGUCAUGCGACAGGAAAUAACAUGGCAGCGAUGGAAUCUCUGGUAUCUGGUUUUGUUUGUGGAAUAGGAUAUGGAUUUUUUUCUGGCCAACCAUUGACUAUACUUGGAUCUACUGGCCCCGUUCUUGUGUUUGAAACAAUCAUGUAUGAUUUCUGUAUGAGCCAAGGAUGGGAUUACAUGUCAUUCCGGUUCUGGAUUGGUGCGUGGAUUACAAUAAUUCUUCUACUGCUUGUCGCAUUCGAUGCCAGUGCAUUUGUCUGCUACAUUACUAGGUUUACUGAAGAGAACUUUGCGACUCUAAUUGCUUUCAUCUUCAUAUAUAAGGCAGUGGAAAAUGUUCUCAGCAUUGGAAAGAAGUUCCCAUUGGACAGACACAAAGAGAUUCUGAAUGAAUGUUUCUGUGCAACAUCUAAUGACACUGACAGUGCACUAGUAGUCAACUGGACCAAUUUAGAGCCGGCUGGAUGCUUGGCAAUAAAUGGAACACUUAGUGGAGAUGGGUGCUACCCACCUCAGCAUGUGCCUGAUGUUUUCCUGAUGUCUAUUAUUUUAUUUUUUGGGACAUUCAUUUUGUCAGUGCAAAUGAAAGAUUUUAAGAAUGCUCUUUUCUUCCCAUCAUUCGUACGCCAGAUUGUGAGUGAUUUUUCUGUGAUACUGGCAAUACUGAUGAUGUCUGGCUUGGACUUUUAUGUCGGUGUGGAAACACCAAAACUUGCUGUGCCCAGAGAAUUCAAGCCAACAUUACCUGACCGUGGGUGGCUCAUUUAUCCAUUUAAUAAUAAUCCUCCAUGGACAGCAAUUGCAGCAGUUUUGCCAGCUCUCCUGGGUACAAUUCUCAUAUUUAUGGAUCAGCAAAUCACAGCUGUUAUCGUCAACCGCAAAGAAAACAAAUUAAAGAAAGGCUGUGGCUACCAUCUAGACCUUUUUGUACUGGCUAUCUUGAUAGCAAUAAAUUCUCUUAUGGGCCUUCCCUGGUUUGUGGCAGCAACUGUGCUUUCCAUAAAUCAUGUUAACUCUCUGAAACUGGAAUCAGAAUGUGCUGCUCCUGGAGAGAAACCACAGUUUUUGGGUGUCAGGGAGCAGCGUGUCACACACAUACUAAUAUUCCUGAUGAUAGGUUUGUCUGUUGUCCUUACUCCUGUUCUUCAGCGUAUUCCAAUGCCAGUGCUUUUUGGUGUGUUUCUGUACAUGGGAGUUGCAUCACUGAAAGGUCUGCAGUUCUUUGACAGGAUCCUUAUAAUGUUCAUGCCUGUUAAAUAUCAACCAGAUUAUAUGUUUCUUCGCCAGGUGCCACUAAAACGCGUACAUAUGUUCACUUUAAUCCAGCUUGCUUGCCUUAUAGUGCUGUGGGUGAUAAAAUCAUUCAGCACAACUUCAAUUUUGUUUCCUCUGAUGCUUGUUGUAAUGAUUGGAAUCAGGAAACUUUUGGACUUUGUUUUCACUCAGCGUGAACUGAAAAUCCUUGAUGAUGUUAUGCCAGAAAUGACAAGAAGGCAUGCAGAAGAUCGAAGACAGCUGGAGUCUGGAGGAGAGGAGGGAAAGCCAAUGGAAUUUGGUCAGUCAGGAAAUCUACAAAUACCAUUAGCAAAUGGAAAUAUAAUGAAGAUUCCAUUAGCCUCAAUUAAUAUUUCUGAAGAAGUAAACAAAACAGGUAUAUGGAAACAAGUUAAUGAAGGAAAUUACAAAGAGAAAGAAGAGAAAAAGAAGAAAAGUCCUAGUAAAAACAGCUCAAAAUCUAAAAAGCGUGGGCAUAAAAGAGAUGCAAUAACUGAUGAUGAGAAGAGGAGGUUGUCAUCAAUGCCAGAGGAGGAGGAAGACGAUGGUGUGACAAUUAAGGUGGGGAUAGGUACUUCCGAUACCAAAGUGUAACACACCAUUCCUGUCAACUAGUCUGAUCAUCACAAUUUUUCGUGUCUGGCAAGUGCAUCCCUGGUUUCAAAAUAUCUCAAAAACGAAGAUCAAUAGAUGAGUGCAACAAAAGAUCGGUUCCAGUCAAAGUAUAAACACCAAAAGUGAUGCAAGAAUGAGCAGACUGAAUGAAAGUGAAACAACGGUAUAACACAAUGAGGUCUGCAUGUGUGGGUGUGUUGAAGUGUACAUAUAUGUAUUAUUAAACAGCCAGCGCCCUGUAAAUUAUUAUGUGGGUCUCUCUCUAAGAUGUUUGUAAAUGUUGUUUUAUCAGUAGAAAAAUGAAUGAUUUGUUGACAGUCUGUGUUGUGUUCCUCAGAUUAAUAAUUUACCCUGAUGUUAAUGUCUUAAAUUACAUAAUUGACUGUUAGAAUUUAUGUAAGUAUUAUUGGAUAUGCCCUGUCACACCAGGCACUUUAGACAAUGUCAGUACCAGUUUCUGCUAAAUGUUUUAGUCAAACCAACAGCAAACAUUUUAUGAUGUUUAAUUAUGUGCCAAUUUAGAAACUGAAUGAUGCUGAGUAGGUAUAACUAUUGUGGAUGCUCCAUUACUAAAGAGAUGGCAACUGCUCUCUAGUAUAUAUGUUUUGAGUACAAAUUUUAGUGGCUAAAGUAAUUGGACUUCACAAGAGUUUUAUCAGUGCUGGGUAAAUGUUUACAUGUGAGAUCUCUGCUGCAGAUAUUGAUGUCAUAUUCAGUGCUACAUUUAAAAUAGUUUAAGCAUAAAUUAAUUACAAUCAGUAAACUUCUGGAUUGUGUUAUACUGCGUGGCCUAAAAAUAAUAAAACAUAAUUGUCAGUUUAUAAUUAGAUCACAUAGCAAAUUCAAAAACAAAAUUAUAGCAUUUCAUGUGUGCAGUUCUAGUCUUCACAUUUAGUGUCCACACACAUGCAUAUAACUUGAACUUAGUGGAAGUUCCUCUCUCCAGCUGUCAGAUUUUUGGGAUACCUGUUGUGCACAGAUUAUGCAUCAGUGGCAGGACAAAUGCUCAUUGAGGUGUUCUUGUAUCAGAAUAGAGGGGUCAAGGUCUGAUGGUUUUUCAUUUGAAUAUAUUCAUAUGAUGUACUGAACAAAAUAACACAUUCAGUAAUUCAGCAUUACUUUAAAAAAGAAUAUCUUGCACACAAAUUUCACAUUCACAAAUACAACUGUAAACAUGGUUGUGAGAUUUUUGAGCACUUACGUUCAGUGAAAUAAACAGGCACUGCAAACCAACAUACUGGCUGAAAAUAUUUUUUUGUUACUGUUAUAAAAUCAUUCUAAUUAUUGUUAAGUCUUUUUACACUACAAACAAUUAUCUUUCAUUUCAGUCAUUUGACCAGCUAUAUUCCAGCAAAUCUCAGGAAAAAUGGGCAAAAAUAAGAAUGUGAUAAUACAGUGGAUCGUGUGUGUGUUUGUGUGUGUGUGUGUGUGUGUGUGUGUGUGUGUGUUUGUGUGUGUGUGUUUAAGAAAUCAAUUACAUUACAUUUUACUUUUUCAGUGCUAGCUUGAUCUAGCUGUUUACAUAUCUGGACAUCCAGGACAUCCACUGGAGCAAUGUGUAAUAUAAAACUAGAAUGAGUUGUAAAUUUGUCAGUGUAGGUGUAAAAUUUGUUCAUAUGCUUAGAAAAAAGUUGUAAAUUCUAUUAAUUUUUGUACAGUUAAUGUUCAAAUAAAAUAGUUUUUAUAAUAAAAAUAAUAUUCUUUUCCUA